rnacentral:lncRNA from 1 species
UAUCCAGUAUAAACGAUACUGUAAAUCAGUUCUAACGCUUACGUAUGCAUGGUAUGGUUUGUCAAGUGUGACAUUUCAUUUAAAAGACGCUCACUUACGAAUAAACCUCUCUUUUGACAUAGCCUACUCAAACGGAGGUAUAAGGAUAUUACACUAUCACAUUAUGUCUGUGGACAAAAUUUACGGUGAAAAGAUGUCAGAUGGACAUAUAAAUUUGAUGCUGGACAAUUAUCCUACACCAUAUAUAGAUUGAAUCGGAUUUUUUUUUCUUGGCUUAUGGGCGUACUCAAUUACAAUCCUGGUACCUUUGAUAGCUAAUUACACCACUGGGUCAAUGCCACUGCUGGUGGACGUUUUGUCACUGAGGGUAUCACCAGCCCAGUAGUCAAUACUUUGGUGUUGACAUGAAUAUCAAUAGUCUGGUCAUUUUUAUAAAUUUCCUGUUUACAAAACUUUGAAUUUUUCGAAGAAAAAAAAUAAGGAUUUUCUUAUCCCAGGCAUAGAUUACCUAAGCCGUAUUUGGCACAACUUUUUGGAAUUUUGGAUCCUCAAUGCUCUUCAACUUUGUACUUGUUUAGCUUUAUAAAUAUUUUGAUAUGAGCGUCACUGAUGAGUGUAAUGUAGACGAAACGCGCGUCUUGCGUACUAAAUCAUAAACCUGGUACCUUUGACAACUAUCAAUAAUAUUUUUUUGUACAGUGUAAGAAUACUCAGUUUUGAUAGCUUGAAAAAUCCAACUAACCUUCGUCUGUCAUGUCGUUUAGUUUUUAAAGAAUAAUUUAAGACUUAUGGAAAUAUGAAAAGGGUCAAAAUUAUGAAUACAACUAUUGUGUGUAAAGGUAUUUCAAAGCGUCGUCUUCCAAUUGAAAAGGAUAAUUUUAAGGGUUAAAAUUAAAAGGGAACUUUAUUACACGUUUGUAAAAUGUAAGGACAUCAUUUUUUUAUGAAUAAUUACCAAAUAGAUUGAGCAUUAAACGAGUCUUGUAAAGACAGUCAUUAAAGGGUCACUAGCUACGAGAUAUAUAAAAAAAACUAAAGUAAGAUUUUUUUGUUCAAUUAAUAAUGAAAGUGAAAUAGUGAAAUAAUAAUUCGCUUUAAGCAGCCAAAAUGGUUCAAUUUUGUCAAAUUUAGCGAAGAAACAUUGAUUAUUACUCAUUCACUUGCAAGUGAAUUAGUCGACCUCAUUUAAUCCGUAUUCAUGUGAACUUCAAUUUAACCCCUUGCUAGAUAUUGACAACGCAUGCAUUGUACGUGUACUGGUUAUUUAAAGAAAAAGAAUGUCAACAAUGAAAGUGAAACUACGGUAAAUCAUUUGAAUACUGAUUCGAUCCAUAUAAAAUCAUUCUUAUACGGUUAAAACAAUGAGAAACAUAUAUUUUUAAUCUAUAAAAUAAACUCAAACAGACCUAAAAAAAUCCAAUUGCACGUGUUGGUUUAAUCUAUUCAUAUCUUCAUUCAUGUUUACAUCGCUUAUAUGGUCAUCUGAGGUCAAAUCGAUAGUGAAUUAGAUGGCGUCUGGACUAAAAUACACACGAAACGAACCUACAUAUUAUCUACCCCAUGCUCUGUAAACUGUUUAUUUUAGACUUUUGGUAGUUUGGAUAAAUGUUUUACACUAUUAUAAAUCAAAUGUGAGAAAUUGAGUCAAAUCGGUGACCAUGAAUUUGACAGCUAGUGCCCCUUUAAUUAAAAAAAGACAUUUAAAACAGGUAGAUAUGUUUGUUUUUAUUAAUUCUCCCUUUAAGUACCUUCAACGUUAAAACAAUUGGAAAGAAUGUUCCCGUCUUUUAAAUGAAUAAAUCAAUACAACUUUUUUACAAAAAACAUUGUAUGGUCUUUGUUCUGUUUCGUCACAAUUGAUAAUAUUGUAUAGUCUUUUCAUAUCUGGUUAAAGUUGAAACUAUCAUUUAAACAGAAAUUAUCCGAUUAAAAUUUAAAUGACAUUGUAAUAACUGGCAUACUUGUAUCAUACUAGGUAAACAAGCAAACUUUAAUACGAGGAAAAAUUGGGAGAGAGGCAAAAGAUACCAAGGACAAAUUUUAAAAUCUUAAAAGAAAAAAAAAUGACAAAUCCAUGGCCAUACGAAAAUGAAAGACUUCAAAAAGUCAAAAACAAGUCCGUAAACAGUCGCACAUGAAAUACAUUUCUACUUCAUAGACUCGACAACAACUGUAUCCUUCUUCCCGUUUUGCCGUUACUUGUUUUGUUGAAUAUGACACAUUGUAUUUUAUUUUAAUUUGCAAUGAAAAAAAUCAAAAAUACUUAACUUAUACGUGACUAACACAAAUAAACGUAAACAUUUUGCAACUGUUCUGAGUCUGUUGUACGUAAAUGUGUUACUUAAGUCUUUUAUAAAGCAAAGAAGCAUUUAUAACAUUGAUAGUUCUAUUCGUCUGAUAUCUAUUAUAUAAUUGGUUUCUCUUAUAAAGGAUACUGUAAAUCAGUUCCAACACAUAAAUAAGCAUGAUUUUUUUUAUUAGUUGUUAGUGCCUUUGAAUUAGUUGUCAGAUAACUGCGAGUACUCUCAGAUCUGUUCAUUGUGUCUUUUUGUGUCGGGAUGUAUAAGUACCCGGCCACGUCCACUUGUGUUUUGUCCAUCUGAUGAGUUAAGCCUUUUUCAACUGAUUUUAAUAGUUCGUUCUUAUGUUGUACUGUUAUACCAAUGUCCCAGGUUAGGGGAGGGUUUGGAUCCCACUAACAUGUUUAACCCCCCGCCACAUUAUUUAUGUAUGUGCCUGUCCCAAGUCAGGAGCCUGUAAUUCAGGGGUUGUCGUUUGUUUAUGUGUUACAUUUUUGUUUUCGUUGAUUUUUUUUUACAUAAAUAAGGCCGUUAGUUUUCUCGUUUGAAUUGUUUUACAUUAUCUUAUCGGGGCCUUUUAUAGCGGACUAUGCGGUAUGGGCUUUGCUCAUUGUUGAAGGCCGUACGGUGACCUAUAGUUGUUAAUGUCUGUGUCAUUUUGGUCUUUUGUGGAUAGUUGUCUCAUUUGCAAUCAUAACAUAUCUUCUUUUGUAUAUGUUAUUGUUAGUCAAGUGUGACAUUUCAUUUAAAAGACGCUCACUAACGAAUGAACUUCUCUUUUGAUAAAGCCUACUCAAACGGAGGUGUGGGGAUAUUACACUAUAACAUUAUGUCUGUGGACACAAUUUUCGUUGAAAACAUGCCCGGUGGUGCCGGAAACAUUUAAUCCUACACCAUAUAUAGAUUGAAUCGGAUCUUCUUUUUUUUUGCUUUUCUUUUUUGCUUUUGGCCAUGUUAAAGCAAACACAUUUCAACAAAACCAUGUAUUCUUUUUUUUAGAAUUUUAGAAUUAGUGUUAUAUUAUGAGUUCAAGUGUGUGAAAAUUUCAAUAAUGAAUUCUUGUACAGUGUAAG